CCUACGGGUGGCAGCAGUGGGGAAUAUUGGACAAUGGGCGAAAGCCUGAUCCAGCCAUGCCGCGUGUGUGAAGAAGGCCUUCGGGUUGUAAAGCACUUUCAGUGGGGAAGAAAGCCUUGGGGCUAAUACCCUCGAGGAAGGACAUCACCCACAGAAGAAGCACCGGCUAACUCCGUGCCAGCAGCCGCGGUAAUACGGAGGGUGCGAGCGUUAAUCGGAAUUACUGGGCGUAAAGCGCGCGUAGGCGGUCUGAUAAGCCGGUUGUGAAAGCCCCGGGCUCAACCUGGGAACGGCAUCCGGAACUGUCAGGCUAGAGUGCAGGAGAGGAAGGUAGAAUUCCCGGUGUAGCGGUGAAAUGCGUAGAGAUCGGGAGGAAUACCAGUGGCGAAGGCGGCCUUCUGGACUGACACUGACGCUGAGGUGCGAAAGCGUGGGUAGCAAACAGGAUUAGAUACCCCAGUAAUC
rnacentral:rRNA from 1 species